AGCAGUCGCCGCGGUAAUACAGAGGGUGCGAGCGUUAAUCGGAUUUACUGGGCGUAAAGCGUGCGUAGGCGGCUAAUUGAGUCGGAUGUGAAAUCCCCGAGCUUAACUUGGGAAUUGCAUUCGAUACUGGUUAGCUAGAGUGUGGGAGAGGAUGGUAGAAUUCCAGGUGUAGCGGUGAAAUGCGUAGAGAUCUGGAGGAAUACCGAUGGCGAAGGCAGCCAUCUGGCCUAACACUGACGCUGAGGUACGAAAGCAUGGGGAGCAAACAGGAUUAGAUACCCGCGUAGUCCCUGUCUCUUAUAC
rnacentral:rRNA from 1 species